rnacentral:rRNA from 1 species
CACCGCGGUGAUACGAGAGGCCCAAGCUGACAGCCCCCGGCGUAAAGCGUGGUUAGGGUUACACCUAGAACUAAAGCCGAACACCCCUAAAGCCGUCAUACGCAUAUAAGGGUAUGAAGCCCGCCCACGAAAGUGGCUUUAGAACUCCUGACUCCACGAAAGCUAAGAAA